AGUGAACGCUGGCGGCAGGCCUAAUACAUGCAAGUCGAACGGCAGCACAGCAGAGCUUGCUCUGUGGGUGGCGAGUGGCGGACGGGUGAGUAAUGCAUCGGAACGUGCCCAGUAGUGGGGGAUAGCCCGGCGAAAGCCGGAUUAAUACCGCAUACGACCUACGGGUGAAAGCGGGGGACCGUAAGGCCUCGCGCUAUUGGAGCGGCCGAUGUCAGAUUAGGUAGUUGGUGGGGUAAAGGCCUACCAAGCCUACGAUCUGUAGCUGGUCUGAGAGGACGACCAGCCACACUGGGACUGAGACACGGCCCAGACUCCUACGGGAGGCAGCAGUGGGGAAUUUUGGACAAUGGGCGCAAGCCUGAUCCAGCCAUGCCGCGUGCGGGAAGAAGGCCUCGG
rnacentral:rRNA from 1 species